GACGAACGCUGGCGGCGUGCCUAAUACAUGCAAGUCGAACGCUGAAGCUUGGUGCUUGCACCGAGCGGAUGAGUUGCGAACGGGUGAGUAACGCGUAGGUAACCUGCCUGGUAGCGGGGGAUAACUAUUGGAAACGAUAGCUAAUACCGCAUAAUAGUAGAUGUUGCAUGACAUUUGCUUAAAAGGUGCAAUUGCAUCACUACCAGAUGGACCUGCGUUGUAUUAGCUAGUUGGUGAGGUAACGGCUCACCAAGGCAACGAUACAUAGCCGACCUGAGAGGGUGAUCGGCCACACUGGGACUGAGACACGGCCCAGACUCCUACGGGAGGCAGCAGUAGGGAAUCUUCGGCAAUGGACGGAAGUCUGACCGAGCAACGCCGCGGGAGUGAAGAAGGUUUUCGGAUCGUAAAGCUCUGUUGUAAGAGAAGAACGAGUGUGAGAGUGGAAAGUUCACACUGUGACGGUAGCUUACCAGAAAGGGACGGCUAACUACGUG
rnacentral:rRNA from 1 species